rnacentral:rRNA from 1 species
UAUGCACGCUGGCGGCGUGCUUAACACAUGCAAGUCGAACGAAGCAUUUAGGACAGAUUACUUCGGUUUGAAGUUCUUUAUGACUGAGUGGCGGACGGGUGAGUAACGCGUGGGUAACCUGCCUUGUACUGGGGGAUAGCAGCUGGAAACGGCUGGUAAUACCGCAUAAGCGCACAAUGUUGCAUGACAUGGUGUGAAAAACUCCGGUGGUAUAAGAUGGACCCGCGUCUGAUUAGCUAGUUGGUGAGAUAACAGCCCACCAAGGCGACGAUCAGUAGCCGACCUGAGAGGGUGACCGGCCACAUUGGGACUGAGACACGGCCCAGACUCCUACGGGAGGCAGCAGUGGGGAAUAUUGCACAAUGGAGGAAACUCUGAUGCAGCGACGCCGCGUGAGUGAAGAAGUAAUUCGUUAUGUAAAGCUCUAUCAGCAGGGAAGAUAGUGACGGUACCUGACUAAGAAGCGCCGGCUAAAUACGUG